rnacentral:misc_RNA from 1 species
GAAAGUAAGGGUGCAAACGAAGAUGAAAAUUACUACUAUACUAUGGUGGAGUGUCCGUUCAGGAAUAUCCUCAGAAACAAUUGCCAACCAAAAGUGACCGUGAAAAUACUAAAUUAUCGGAGGCCCUUCCACUGUUAUAGUUGAAGUACUCCAGCCAUUUAGCGUCUUCUCCAACGCAUUAAACACCAAAACGGACGAAAAAUGCAAUUUUGAAGUGAUAUAUCUAAAAUUGUUUUGGCAGGUACACUGGAAGAGGUCAGUAAUGAAAGUUAGUACCAGAGUGUGCGACACAGCUUCAUCUAUAAGAGCUUUCCGUCUGCUGGCAGAUAAAGUUGCCACGUCCAAUUCGAAGGAUGAGGUUUACAAAAUCUUUAAUGUACUUGCCGGAGAUCUAAACAUCACAACUGUAAAACACCUUCUUCCAGAUGACAUGACAGACCUAGAGAAUGAUAACUGGAAAAAGCUGCACAAUUGGAAAAGGUGGUGGACAAGGGAGGAGCACUUGAAAAUGUUCACAACUGCUUUUACAGAGAUGGAGGCCUGUAACUGGUCAGCGUGUCCUGACACAACAAAUCCUGUCGAACAUAUCAAUAAAGAUUCAAUUCCAGCAAAGGAGUAUAAGAACAUCUAUCGAUGUGACAAGCUUGCUGCAGCCAAAAGGUUGGCUGUUUUAAGUAAUGUCACGAUCAGCUAAGCAAGCAAGCAAGAGGACAGUAGGCAAGAAAGAGCAGCAAGAAAAAGGAAGUGGAGGAGGAGCUUGGGGAAACUCGGGGAUCAUGAUGAUCAUAACGUUGGUGGACCCCCUGACAAACUUCCCCGACAGAUAGAUAACACCCAAAAGAGACAGACGAGAAAGUCGCAGAG